GGGAGCGUAGUACAAUCUGGCUAGUAUAGGGGCCUCCAGAGCCCUAGAUCUGAGUUCAAAUCUCAGCGCUCCCA
rnacentral:tRNA from 1 species